GCACAAUGUGAAAAUUCUCCCAGCCGAUUCAGAACAUUCUGCCAUAUUCCAGUGUAUCCAGGGCUUGCCAGAGGGUGCACUUAGACGCAUCAUCUUGACUGCAUCUGGAGGAGCCUUCAGGGAUUGGGAUGUUGAAAGGCUGAAAGAAGUGAAAGUUGCUGAUGCUUUGAAACAUCCAAAUUGGAAUAUGGGGAAGAAGAUUACAGUAGACUCUGCUACUCUUUUCAACAAGGGUCUAGAAGUUAUUGAAGCUCACUAUCUAUUUGGGGCUGAAUAUGAUGAUGUUGAGAUUGUAAUCCAUCCACAAUCAAUCAUUCACUCGAUGAUUGAGACACAGGAUUCAUCAGUGCUGGCUCAGUUGGGAUGGCCUGAUAUGCGCUUACCAAUUCUUUACACGAUGUCUUGGCCAGAGAGAAUUUAUUGCUCAGAGAAAACAUGGCCUCGACUUGAUCUUUGCAAGCUAGGCUCUCUAACAUUUAAAGCUCCUGAUAAUGUGAAAUACCCAUCAAUGGAUCUCGCCUAUGCUGCUGGGCGGGCUGGAGGCACCAUGACCGGUGUCCUCAGUGCUGCUAAUGAGAAGGCUGUUGAGUUGUUUAUCGACGAAAAAAUUAGCUAUCUGGACAUUUUUAAGGUUGUGGAGGCAACAUGCGACGCACAUCGGAACGAGUUGGUCCUUCAUCCUACUCUGGAGGAGAUCAUUCACUAUGACCUGUGGGCUCGAGACUUUGCAGCUAAUUUAAAACUAUCUUCUGGCUUGAGUCCAGUUCCUGUAUGAGUUCUUACUUCAUCUAGUUCA
rnacentral:misc_RNA from 1 species